AACGCUGGCGGCGUGCUUAACACAUGCAAGUCGAACGGAAAGGCCCUGCUUUUGUGGGGUGCUCGAGUGGCGAACGGGUGAGUAACACGUGAGUAACCUGCCCUUGACUUUGGGAUAACUUCAGGAAACUGGGGCUAAUACCGGAUAGGAGCUCCUGCUGCAUGGUGGGGGUUGGAAAGUUUCGGCGGUUGGGGAUGGACUCGCGGCUUAUCAGCUUGUUGGUGGAGUAGUGGCUUACCAAGGCUUUGACGGGUAGCCGGCCUGAGAGGGUGACCGGCCACAUUGGGACUGAGAUACGGCCCAGACUCCUACGGGAGGCAGCAGUGGGGAAUAUUGCACAAUGGGCGGAAGCCUGAUGCAGCAACGCCGCGUGCGGGAUGACGGCCUUCGGGUUGUAAACCGCUUUCGCCUGUGACGAAGCGUGAGUGACGGUAAUGGGUAAAGAAGCACCGGCUAACUACGUGCCAGCAGCCGCGGUGAUACGUAGGGUGCGAGCGUUGUCCGGAUUUAUUGGGCGUAAAGGGCUCGUAGGUGGUUGAUCGCGUCGGAAGUGUAAUCUUGGGGCUUAACCCUGAGCGUGCUUUCGAUACGGGUUGACUUGAGGAAGGUAGGGGAGAAUGGAAUUCCUGGUGGAGCGGUGGAAUGCGCAGAUAUCAUGAGGAACACCAGUGGCGAAGGCGGUUCUCUGGGCCUUUCCUGACGCUGAGGAGCGAAAAGCGUGGGGAGCGAACAGGCUUAGAUACCCUGGUAGUCCACGCUGUAAACGGUGGGUACUAGGUGGUGGGGUCCAUUCCACGGGUUCCGUGCCGUAGCUAACGCUUUAAGUACCCCGCCUGGGGAGUACGGCCGCAAGGCUAAAACUCAAAGGAAUUGACGGGGCCCCGCACAAGCGGCGGAGCAUGCGGAUUAAUUCGAUGCAACGCGUAGAACCUUACCUGGGUUUGACAUGGAUCGGGAGUGCUCAGAGAUGGGUGUGCCUCUUUUGGGGUCGGUUCACAGGUGGUGCAUGGCUGUCGUCAGCUCGUGUCGUGAGAUGUUGGGUUAAGUCCCGCAACGAGCGCAACCCUUGUUCACUGUUGCCAGCACGUUAUGGUGGGGACUCAGUGGAGACCGCCGGGGUCAACUCGGAGGAAGGUGGGGAUGACGUCAAGUCAUCAUGCCCCUUAUGUCCAGGGCUUCACGCAUGCUACAAUGGCUGGUACAGAGAGUGGCGAGCCUGUGAGGGUGAGCGAAUCUCGGAAAGCCGGUCUCAGUUCGGAUUGGGGUCUGCAACUCGACCUCAUGAAGUCGGAGUCGCUAGUAAUCGCAGAUCAGCAACGCUGCGGUGAAUACGUUCCCGGGGCUUGUACACACCGCCCGUCAAGUCAUGAAAGUUGGUAACACCCGAAGCCGGUGGCCUAACCGUUGUGGGGGAGCCGUCGAAGGUGGGACUGGUGAAUAG
rnacentral:rRNA from 1 species